UAUUGCGCAAUGGGGGAAACCCUGACGCAGCAACGCCGCGUGCGGGAUGAAGGCCUUCGGGUUGUAAACCGCUUUCAGCAGGGGAGAUCCAAGACGGUACCUGCAGAAGAAGCCCCGGCUAACUACGUGCCAGCAGCCGCGGUAAUACGUAGGGGGCGAGCGUUAUCCGGAUUCAUUGGGCGUAAAGCGCGCGCAGGCGGGUUGCUAAGCGGGACCUCUAAUCUCAGGGCUCAACCUUGAGCCGGGUCCCGAACUGGCAGCCUCGGGUUCGGUAGGGGAGAUCGGAAUUCCCGGUGUAGCGGUGGAAUGCGCAGAUAUCGGGAAGAACACCGAUGGCGAAGGCAGAUCUCUGGGCCGCAACCGACGCUGAGGCGCGAAAGCUAGGGGAGCG
rnacentral:rRNA from 1 species